UACGGGGGGGGCAAGCGUUGUUCGGAAUUACUGGGCGUAAAGGGUGCGUAGGCGGCUUUCUAAGUCGGACGUGAAAUCCCUCGGCUUAACCGGGGAACUGCGUCCGAUACUGGUUGGCUUGAGUUUGGGAGAGGGAUGCGGAAUUCCAGGUGUAGCGGUGAAAUGCGUAGAUAUCUGGAGGAACACCGGUGGCGAAGGCGGCAUCCUGGACCAAUACUGACGCUGAGGAGCGAAAGCCAGGGGAGCAAACGGG
rnacentral:rRNA from 1 species